rnacentral:rRNA from 1 species
GGGUAGCUAAAUGCGGAAGAGAUAAGUGCUGAAAGCAUCUAAGCACGAAACUUGCCAAGAGAUGAGUCAUCCCUGACUUUAAGUCAGUAAGGGUUGUUGUAGACUACGACGUAGAUAGGUCUGGUGUGUAAGUGUAGUGAUACAUUGAGCUAACAGAUACUAAUUGCCCGAGAGGCUUAACUAUACAACGCUCAAG